rnacentral:rRNA from 1 species
UAGGCCUAACACAUGCAAGUCGAGCGGGGUUUUCGGACAUAGCGGCGGACGGGUGAGUAAUGCGUAGGAAGCUACCCGACAGAGGGGGAUACCAGUUGGAAACGACUGUUAAUACCGCAUAAUGUCUACGGACCAAAGUGUGGGGCCUUCGGGCCACAUGCUGUCGGGUGCGCCUACGUGGGAUUAGCUAGUUGGGGAGGGUAAUGGCUCACCAAGGCGACGAUCCCUAGCUGGUUUGAGAGGAUGAUCAGCCACAGUGGAAGGGAGACACGGUCCAGACUCCUACGGGAGGCAGCAGUGGGGAAUAUUGGACAAUGGG